rnacentral:rRNA from 1 species
UAGGGAAUCUUCCGCAAUGGGCGAAAGCCUGACGGAGCAACGCCGCGUGAGUGAUGAAGGUCUUCGGAUCGUAAAACUCUGUUAUUAGGGAAGAACAAAUGUGUAAGUAACUAUGCACGUCUUGACGGUACCUAAUCAGAAAGCCACGGCUAACUACGUGCCAGCAGCCGCGGUAAUACGUAGGUGGCAAGCGUUAUCCGGAAUUAUUGGGCGUAAAGCGCGCGUAGGCGGUUUUUUAAGUCUGAUGUGAAAGCCCACGGCUCAACCGUGGAGGGUCAUUGGAAACUGGAAAACUUGAGUGCAGAAGAGGAAAGUGGAAUUCCAUGUGUAGCGGUGAAAUGCGCAGGGAUAUGGAGGAACACCAGUGGCUAAGGCGACUUUCUGGUCUGUAACUGACGCUGAUGUGCGAAAGCGUGGGGAUCAAACAGG